GGUACAAAAAGAUGGAAACAAGUAUAUGUUUACACCAAAUAAUGUCAUGGAGAGCCCACGUAUGACUUGUACAUUAACAUGUAUACAUAUAUAUAUCCACCACCACCAAUAUGUCUAGUCUAGGGGAAAAAGUAACUUAUACAACACCAACUCCAUCAAUAAAUAGAAGAAAAUAUAUGUAAAAUCCAAACCUCCCCCAAGUAGAUGACAACUCUCUCUACACAUAGUUUAAAGAGGAUGUUUCUCCAAUUUAAAACCACUCACUGACCUGCUAGCCAAACCCCAUCAACUGAAGUUAAAUCCUCCCGAUGGAAGAGAUAUAUCGGCCCCUCCAAAUUCGAAUUGAUCUUCAUUUAAUGAAACCGGCACAUCUUCCUCCUCCAACCAAUAAGUUUCGAGGAUCUUCACUGCUUUCUCAUAGAUUUCAGUGUUGUCAUGGCUUUGGAGGUUUUCAAUCUUUUCUAGACCUUCAGCCUCGUCGAUUAACUGGGCAUAAACAUUCACGCCUUCUGUGUUUCCUAGAUCCUUAUCAGCUUCCCCAAUCUUCAGAAUAUUCUCAAGCCCUUCCAAGCAGACAGUGACAAUUCUUGGGUCAGGACAUACCAGAAGAUCACACAAUGGUUUUAUACAACCUUGGCUCACCAAGAACUUGAUUUGAUCAUGAUUUCCACCGGACGUAGCAUUUGAAAUUGCCCAAGCA
rnacentral:misc_RNA from 1 species